rnacentral:tRNA from 1 species
GAGGGUAUAGUUCAGUGGUAGAACAUGUGUCUAGCAUGCACGAGGUCCUGAGUUCCAUCCCCAGUACCGCCA